AUUUUUCCCAUUCAGCACAUUGUAUCAUGCGACUUCCUUCUGGCCUGCCAAGUUUCUGUGGAGACAUCUACUGCUAAUCUUGCUGGUUUUCCUUUGUAAAUUAGGGACGGCUGUUGUCUUGCUGCUUUUAGGAUUUUUUCUUUAUCUCUAUAUUUUGGAAAUUUACGAUAUUUCAUGUUGGUGGCCUGUUUUUGUUGAUUUUGAUGGGAGUUCUCUGUGCCUCCUAGAUUUGGAUGUCUGUUUCUUUCCUCAGAUUAGUAAUGUAACUGAAGAACAAGAGGAAGAUUAAUUAAAUUUUCUAUAGUCAUGGAGCUAGUAAGAAGGGGAACCUGGUUAUGAAGGCAGAACAUCUGGCUCUAGUCAAUGCCACUUCUCUCCUUCUACAACCCAGAAGCCAUAUAAUGAGAUAUAUUUUGGAAUCACCAUGGAUAAUUCUACCCUGUAUUCAGAAUCAGCAAUUUUUCUAAGAGAGAGACAACGCACAAGCAGGGGAGGAGCAGAGAGAGAGAG